AGUCAGUGGGCUGGGGAAGGCAGAUCCAACCUCAAUCUGGUGCGCCAUCUAAUAAGCUGCCAAUGAAUAUAAAGCAGGCAGAAAAACAUAAGAAGGUGAGACUGGCCUAGCCUCCCAGCCUGCAUCUUUCUCCCAUGCUGAAUGCUUCCUGUCCUCGAACAUCAGACUCCAAGUUCUUUAGUUUUGAGACUCGGACUGGCUUCCUUGCUCCUCAAGCUUGCAGACAGCCUAUUGUGGGACCUUGUGAUCAUGGUCUUAACUCUGUCACCCAGGCUGGAGUGCAGUGGUGUGACCACAGCCACUGCAGGCUCAACCUCUGGGACUCAGGUGAUCCUCCCAUCUCAGCCUCCCAAGUAGCUGGGACUACAGGUUGCUUCUUCCAGAUCCCUUUUGAUCUACUUUCAGCUAUGGAUUCAUGAGAAUCAAGACUAAGCAGCCUGAAUUGAAGGAGUAACAGUAUCACCUAACAAUGAUUUUGCUGCCAUAGUAGCUGUUUGUAUACUGGCCAUAUGCCUAGGUAAAAUGAGGCCAGAUCACUCUCAAGAGUUUUCUAUCAGAGUUGGUGGUGAACUACUGCUCACGGAUAAUGACGAGAAACCCCAGCUGAGGAGGCAAAUAUACUCAAGGAAAGUAAUAGUUUCCAAAUGCCUGGCAGUGCCAGGAAGGGGCCAUGUCCAUGGACCACUAUGUAAGGAUAUCUCAGUCUCUAGUCCAGCGUGGUUUAUGGUGCCAAAUAAGUGCCAGGUGAACUCACUACAUCUGACAAAAUCUCAAGGAACCAAGUUUACCAGAUAAUAUUUAUGAUUAUGUGAAAAAGACUGAGGAAAUCACUCAAGUGAUCCAUCAUACAGCACCUCCAGUUCCAAAGAAUACUGACUUAC
rnacentral:lncRNA from 1 species